UACGUAGGCAGCAAGCGUUGUUCGGAGUUACUGGGCGUAAAGGGUGUGUAGGCGGUCUCUUAAGUUUGUUGUGAAAUCUCCCGGCUCAACUGGGAGGGUGCGGCGAAUACUGAGAGGCUAGAGUGCGGGAGAGGAAAGUGGAAUUCCUGGUGUAGCGGUGAAAUGCGUAGAUAUCAGGAGGAACACCGGUGGUGUAGACGGCUUUCUGGACCGUAACUGACGCUGAGACACGAAAGCGUGGGUAG
rnacentral:rRNA from 1 species